rnacentral:rRNA from 1 species
UACGAAGGGGGCUAGCGUUGCUCGGAAUUACUGGGCGUAAAGCGCACGUAGGCGGCUUGUUAAGUCAGGGGUGAAAUCCUGGAGCUCAACUCCAGAACUGCCUUUGAUACUGGCGAGCUUGAGUUCGGGAGAGGUGAGUGGAACUGCGAGUGUAGAGGUGAAAUUCGUAGAUAUUCGCAAGAACACCAGUGGCGAAGGCGGCUCACUGGCCCGAUACUGACGCUGAGGCGCGAUAGCGUGGGGAUCAAACAGG